rnacentral:rRNA from 1 species
GCCUAAAACCUAGCUCAAACAAUUAUUAUUAAACCCAUUUUUACAAAUUUAACUAACUAAAACAUUUUAAUAUUCUAGUAAAGGAGAUUGAAAAAUUUUUUGGAGCUAUAAACAUAGUACCGCAAGGGAAAGGUGAAAUAGAAAUUAAAAACCUUUAAGCAUAAAAAAGUAGAGAUUAACCCUCGUACCUUUUGCAUCAUGGUUUAACUAGUCUAACCAAGCAAAAAGAAUUAUAGUUUGAACCCCCGAAACUAAGCGAGCUACUUCAGGACAGCUUUAUGAGCUAACCCGUCUCUGUUGCAAAAGAGUGGGACGAUCCUCAAGUAGAGGUGAUAGACCUAACGAGCCUAGUGAUAGCUGGUUAUUCAGGAAAAGGGUUUUAGCCCAACCUAAAGUUUCUGUAGUCCUAUAAAACCUACCCUAAACUUUAGAGUAAUUCAAAUAAGGUACAGCCUAUUUGAAACAGGAAACAACCUCGACUGGCGGGUAUUAAUCAGAACCUUUCUCCUCCAAGUUGGCCUAAAAGCAGCCACCUUAAUAAAGCGUCAAAGCUAGCUCGAAAAAGGACACCUAAUCCCACACACACUCUUAAACCCCCUCCCACCACUGAAUAAUUCUAUACACCUAUAGAAGUUUUAAUGUUAAAACUAGUAACAAGAAGAUCGCUCUUCUCCUAAGUGUGAGCAUAAAUCAGAAAGGACAACCCACUGAUAAUUAACGCCAGUGAAUAUACAUUAGCAACUUUAUCAAGAAAACCCUAAUUUUCCCCACGUUAACCUAACACCAGAACACUUCAAGAAAGAUUUAAAGGAAAAGAAGGAACUCGGCAAAUAUUAACCCCGCCUGUUUACCAAAAACAUCGCCUCUUGAAUAAAAAUAAGAGGUCCAGCCUGCCCAGUGACACUAGUUCAACGGCCGCGGUAUCCUAACCGUGCGAAGGUAGCGUAAUCACUUGUUCUUUAAAUAAGGACUAGUAUGAAUGGCAUCACGAGGGUUAUACUGUCUCCUCUUCCUAAUCAGUGAAACUAAUCUUCCCGUGAAGAAGCGGGAAUACAGCUAUAAGACGAGAAGACCCUAUGGAGCUUUAAAUUUCUCUUCAACUGCCCCUCCCCCUCCCCACGUCUUUGACUUCUUACAUUCACUUCGGCACCAUGAAGAUGAAUUUUAGGUUGGGGUGACCGCGGAGCACAAAAUAACCUCCACAUUGUAUAGGCCUAAAACCUUGAGCAAAGAACAACAAUUCUAUGCACUAAAACAUUAACACCCAUUGACCCAAUACACUUGAUCAACGAACCAAGUUACCCUAGGGAUAACAGCGCAAUCUUCCUCGAGAGUUCAUAUCGACAGGCAGGUUUACGACCUCGAUGUUGGAUCAGGGUAUCCCGGUGGUGCAGCCGCUACUAAUGGUUCGUUUGUUCAACGAUUAAAACCCU